rnacentral:rRNA from 1 species
GACAUAGGUGGCAAACGUUAUCCGGAAUUAUUGGGCGUAAAGGGCGCGUAGGCGGCCUUCUAAGUCGAACGUGAAAUCCCUGGGCUCAACCCAGGAACUGCGUCCGAUACUGGAAGGCUUGAAUCCGGGAGAGGGAUGCGGAAUUCCAGGUGUAGCGGUGAAAUGCGUAGAUAUCUGGAGGAACACCGGUGGCGAAGGCGGCAUCCUGGACCGGCAUUGACGCUGAGGCGCGAAAGCCAGGGGAGCAAACGGG